UAAAAUAUAGAUUGGAAUCAUGAACAUUAUCAACUACUUGGUAACUUGAUGAAGUACUUGCCUACAUGAUAAAGUGAUAUUCUUUGAACUUUUUUUUUUUUUUUAGCAGAAGGAUCUUUUUCUAUUACAAAGAAAGCUGUAGUUAUUUCUUGCAUUAAAGACAGAAUUUUAUCAGAAUCUAGGAUGGCAGAAACUGCCUAUGUGCAACAGAUACUAACUAUUUACCCCUCUAUCCUUCUUUGUCAAUUCUCUUAAGCAGAGUAAGAAUGCAUUAACACACGCAUUUGUGAAUACACUGUGUUUGAGUGGUCAAUGUGCAUUCAUCAGCUCUAAUAAAAUGCUCAGUGCUUCCUGGAUGUACAGGAUAUGAAUCAGUUAAUGUGAAGAAGAUGACCACAUAGCACCAUCAUUACAGAACUGUAUUAGCAUUCUGCUGCCUGUGGAGCAGCUGUGGCAGUGUGUUACUACUCUGCACAUUUCAACAGACUCAGCCAAAAAGAGGUAGACGAAUACAAACCUCUGCUCAGGCACAUAGAAGCUGAUCGUGAAAAGAGAUCAAACAGCGAUAUGGAGCGAGGUUAAAUGAUGUGCCCAAGGUCACAGAGGACAAGCCUCUGAAUUGGGAAAGGAACUCACACCCAUGACUGGGAUCCACCCUGGUAGAUUCUCCAUCCUCUCGUGGCUUGCAAAGAAGUUGAAAGGGAGACAGGCCAGGAUUUGCUGUGUUCAGAGUGUUUUGCCACUUUGAGGAACACCGUGUGAAGUACACUUGCACAAAUAAUGGAAGAGCAGCUCAUUUCCUCCUCCUCCUGCACCACACCAGCACCUGCUUUAAACCCCCUGACGUGGCACCCUGACCUCUCACCAGUCCCAGCCACAGCAUUCAAAAGCUCCCGCUCCGAGCCUCCUCUGCCCUGCCAUGGCGAAUUCAGCCAGAGCAAGAGCCCGGUGUAACGAGGAACAAGGAGGAGAUUCGACAGGACCCAACGCCAGGAAAACAGCUUGAUCCCUGCUUAAAAAAUUCAUUGUGAUUUGUCUUUUUUCCGGUUCUGAGACUGAGUAAUUGAGGCAAGUCCAGAGUCAGUCCCAGGUACUUAGAGGAUGAGACAAAAGACUCUUCAUGAAUGUUUCACGAACAGGCAAUGCUUUCAGAUGACAGAGGUUAGGACUGCCUUGCAUGGCUUUGUGGAUGUGUGUACACUUAACAUUCUUAAUAGCCAUGUUAUUUAAAAAUAAAAUCAAUCAUUAAAAAUAAAUACACCUUACUAA